CAGAGUGUAGCUUAGUCAGAAAAGCAUUUCUCUUACACUGAAAAGUCCCCCGUGCAACUCGGAGCAUCCUGA
rnacentral:tRNA from 1 species